CCUACGGGAGGCAGCAGUGAGGAAUAUUGGUCAAUGGGCGGGAGCCUGAACCAGCCAAGUCGCGUGAGGGAUGACGGUCCUACGGAUUGUAAACCUCUUUUGCCGGGGAGCAAGCGUGCGUUCGUGAACGCGCGUCGAGAGUACCCGGAGAAAAAGCAUCGGCUAACUCCGUGCCAGCAGCCGAGGUAAUACGGAGGAUGCGAGCGUUAUCCGGAUUUUUUGGGUUUAAAGGGUGCGUAGGCGGGAUGCAAAGUCAGCGGUAAAAUUGCGGGGUUAAACGCCGUCGAGCCGUUGAAACUGGCGUUCUUGAGUGGGCGAGAAGUAUGCGGAAUGCGUGGUGUAGCGGUGAAAUGCAUAGAUAUCACGCAGAACUCCGAUUGCGAAGGCAGCAUACCGGCGCCCUACUGACGCUGAGGCACGAAAGCGUGGGUAUCGAACAGGAUUAGAUACCCGGGUAGUC
rnacentral:rRNA from 1 species